UACGUAGGGUGCGAGCGUUAAUCGGAAUUACUGGGCGUAAAGCGUGCGCAGGCGGUUCGUUAUGUCCGAUGUGAAAGCCCCGAGCUCAACUUGGGAACUGCAUUUGUGACUGCAUGGCUAGAGUUUGGCAGAGGGGGGUAGAAUUCCACGUGUAGCAGUGAAAUGCGUAGAUAUGUGGAGGAACACCGAUGGCGAAGGCAGCCCCCUGGGUCAAGACUGACGCUCAUGCACGAAAGCGUGGGGAGCAAACAGG
rnacentral:rRNA from 1 species